rnacentral:rRNA from 1 species
CCUACGGGAGGCAGCAGUGGGGAAUAUUGGUCAAUGGGGGAAACCCUGAUCCAGCGACGCCGCGUGAGUGAAGAAGUAUUUCGGUACGUAAAGCUCUAUCAGUAGGAAAGAAAAUGACGGUACCUGACUAAGAAGCACCGGCUAACUACGUGCCAGCAGCCGCGGUAAUACGUAGGGGGCAAGCGUUAUCCGGAAUUACUGGGCGUAAAGGGAGCGUAGGCGGGAGCGCAAGUCUGGAGUGAAAUGCGGGGGCCCAACCCUGGAACUGCCCUGGAAACUGUGAAGCUGGAGUGCAGGAGAGGUAAGCGGAAUUCGUGGUGUAGCGGUGAAAUGCGUAGAUAUCAGGAGGAACACCGACGGCGAAGGCGGCUUACUGGACUUUAACUGACGUUGAGGCACGAAGGCGUGGGGAGCAAACAGGAUUAGAUACCCUAGUAGUC